GCCUUCGUGGUGUAACGGUGGCACACUCGGCACGUAUUCGAGAGGCCCAGGUUCGAGUCUCAGCGAGGGCA
rnacentral:tRNA from 1 species